UAACGGUAUAACAACUUUCUAUUUGGAAAAAUGUCACCAUUUCACUAAUUGUGAAAAGAAAGAUAUCACAAAAAUGGGAAGAAUCAUCUUGCGAACGUUGAUGACCAGGAUGUUAAUCUACAUCUUCUUUGUGCAAAUAUUGAACAACAACGCUUUAUGCAAAGUCACAACAAAUGUGACGAGUGAAAGGUGUGUCCAUCCUUGGAAAUCAGAUUCAUGGGCAACAAACAAUUCAACUCAACAGUUAACACAUCAUCUUCUGAAGUUAGAAAACUUAAUACGGGGUGUUUUAUCCUCGAAAACAAAUACA